rnacentral:rRNA from 1 species
UACGGAGGAUGCAAGCGUUAUCCGGAAUGAUUGGGCGUAAAGCGUCCGCAGGUGGCAAUGUAAGUCUGCUGUCAAAGCGUCUGGCUCAACCAGAUAAAGGCAGUGGAAACUACAUAGCUAGAGUAAGGUAGGGGUAGAGGGAAUUCCUGGUGUAGCGGUGAAAUGCGUAGAGAUCAGGAAGAACAUCGGUGGCGAAAGCGCUCUACUGGACCUCAUCUGACACUCAGGGACGAAAGCUAGGGGAGCGAAUGGG